rnacentral:rRNA from 1 species
UACGUAGGGGGGCUAGCGUUGUCCGGAAUCAUUGGGCGUAAAGCGCGUGUAGGCGGUUCGGUAAGUCCGCUGUGAAAGUCGGGGGCUCAACCCUCGAAUGCCGGUGGAUACUGUCGGGCUAGAGUGCGGAAGAGGCGAGUGGAAUUCCUGGUGUAGCGGUGAAAUGCGCAGAUAUCAGGAGGAACACCGAUUGCGAAGGCAGCUCGCUGGGACGUUACUGACGCUGAGACGCGAAAGCGUGGGGAGCAAACAGG